UGGCUCAAUGGUUAGAGCGUUUGAUUUCUGAUCUAAAGGUCACGCGUUUGAGCCUCGCGU
rnacentral:tRNA from 1 species